GAGAGUGGGUGUGAGUGGGUGUGAGCUACAGUAAGUGUGAGUGUGUCUGUUCUCCAGGUCUCAGCAGUUGGAGUUUCAGGAAGUUUUAUUUUGGAGAAAUCUUUCGAGGUCGAAAAUGUUCGUCCGGGAAAAGUGAAGAUUUAUGAGUAUUACGAACCCGACCGAUUUGCAACAGAUGUUUAUACAGAUACGUGUGUCCGGGAUUCCGGAUAGAGAAAGUUUGCGACAAAAAUUAAUCUGCUUCUAAAAUCGCUUAUAAAAUCUGAGUUGAAAUCAUAGAGAGGGAACUCUACUGUGUCUUAAACCCGGACCUGGGAGUGUGGACGGACGCACAGUGUAGAGGGAGAUUUACGGGAGAUUUAAACCUGUGAUUAAGCUGAAUAAAUUCAUCGGAAAAGGC